UUGUGUGUAGCCCAGUGGUAAGAGUGCAUGCUCUGUGUGUAUGAUAUUCUGGGUUCAAUCCCCAGUUUCUCCCCCAAA